CUUAAGGUUUUAUUUAAGAUAUUUUCUGCCCAAUGAUUUUUUUAUUAAAUGGCUGCAGUAUAUUGACUGUACAAAGGUAGCAUAGUAAUUAGGUUUUUAAUUGGAAUCUUGUAUGAAAGGAUAGAUGAAAAAUUUUCUUUAUUAAUUCUAUUAUAAUAAUUUUAUUUUUUGGUAAAAAAGCUAAAUUAUGUUUUAGGGACGAUAAGACCCUAUAGAACUUUAAAAUCUUAUUUUUAAAUUGUUUUUAGGUUAGUUUUUUAUUUAUUUUUUGGAUUUUUUAAUUGGGGUGAUUAAUAAAUAUUAUAAACUUUAUUUUUAUAUUUCAUUUAUUAAUGUUUAUUUUGAUCUCAUAUAUGGAUUACAAGAUAAGUUACCUUAGGGAUAACAGCGUAAUUAAUAUGGAAAGUUCUUAUUAAAAUUUUAGUUUGCGACCUCGAUGUUGAAUUAAGAAAAAUUUUUGG
rnacentral:rRNA from 1 species